UUCGACGUUUCGGCCGGAGUCCGGCCUUCGUCAGGAAGGCCGGACGAAGGCCGGACUCCGGCCGAAACGUCGA
rnacentral:pre_miRNA from 1 species